AAGACCACAGUUUCCUGUCGCGUGGAUGUGUUUCCUCUCUGGCCAUUGCCAUCCGCCCAAAUCUACAGACAUCCCGCAUGUUCCCGGGCUCGUCUCCCCAAUACAGGGCACCAAGGCUGUAGACUGCGCAGCCCUCCUGGAGACAGAUGGAAGCUCCUUGGGUCGACAGAUUACAGCUUCUGGAACCCCCUACUCCCUUCAACUCCGAGAUGGACACCCACUGUCCAGGGAGAGGAUGCCUGGAAAUAACAGCUGGGAUCUACAGUGGCCAAAGAGUUGUCUCCGUCUUGCUACAUCGACAAACUGGUGCUCCUGACCACUUCGGAAGCGUUUUCCUCUCCACUCUGACAACAGGCAAGAGUGAGGGUCCAACAAUACAGAGGAAGUAACGUGUCGCUGCUACUCUUCCAUGCCCAGUGCCAGGAGCGACGGUACACUCCAGAGUGCUGUGCCCUGAUGGGCCUUUGAGUGGCCAGUGCAGUGGAUCAUCAGCCCUGUCUCCCAAGAGCUCCAGUCCCUUCUCCGGAGAGGAAGUGGGUCCACUGGCAGCUCAGGAGGCCAUAGCAGCCUUACGGAAGUGUGGGUGGCGCUUUCUGGAAGCUGCACAAGUCAGUGCUGGGUCUUCGCAACUUGGUGUUCUGUUUCCAGAAACUUGGGGUGUUUGCAUGUGCUAGGUCAGCACAGAUUUCCAAAGGAUCUCUAGGAUUGUCACGUGUGCUCAACAGUCCUCCUCGGCUUUCCAGAAGAGGCUGGAACAGGGCCCUUGAAGAUGUUUGUGGACAUCAGAGGGCCAAAGACGACACAAAGUGAAACUGGAGACACCGCCCCCCCUUGGCAUCAUGAAACUGCCGAUGUUACUGGCUCAUGCAUGGGAGACACCAGCAUACAAAGUCUUGACACCAACACCUCAGAGGGCUGUGUUCUGUCCCCGUGACCAUCAUCUAGUGCCUGGAAAGACUAGUGACAAGAACUUGUUGCCAACUUCCUAUUACCUCCCUAACAGUUGUGCAAUAAACCCCAUAGGUUAAUUCAGUCUGCCUUUUAAA
ensembl:processed_transcript Snhg17 small nucleolar RNA host gene 17